rnacentral:lncRNA from 1 species
AUGCCCAAUUGGAGGAAACUGAGGCCCAGAGGUGAAAGGUGUUUUGCACCACGAGAAGGAUGCCAUGAAAUGCUCUGCUCUCUUCUCUUUUCCUUGCUGUCCCCGGGGCUGGAGGAGCACAGGCCUCCCAGGCAGGGGCCCUGGCCUUGUUGGAUUCCCAUCUCCUUUCAAGGGUUGAGCCCCCAAGGGCCAGAAGUGAGAGGUGAGUCGGAGCAGGCAGGGCGGGAUGAGGAGGGACCCGACCUCCCAAAGGCUAGCCUGGGUAGGACCCCAGGGGCUGGCGGAGUCUCAGUUGGGAAGGGCUGGGGCCGGGCACAGGGUGUGGCAGGUGUGGACUUGACAGCAGACAGCUCCCUGGGGUUGUGGGGGUGGCGGGCUCCGGGCCAACGGCCUCAGCCAAGCUUGGGGAUGGAGUCCUGUAAAGCCUGAAGGGCCCGUGCAGAGUCCUCGAAUGCUAACCAGCAGGUCAGAGAACUGGCUUCUCUGUGACCCCUGACCCCGUAUUCCAAUUUAAUGAUGGCCAAAGCAGGCCUGACUCAGGCAUCCCGCCUGAGGGGAUGGGACUGAGAGCCCAGAGGAAGGCGUGAGGCCGGAGGCUCAGGAGACCCCCGGUUCCUCCAGGCCAUAGCCGGACAUCACCUGGUGGCCUGGCCCAGGCAGGUGAGGGCUAGAGUCUGUCCGUCCAGCCCCUCGGCGGGCCUGGUGGCCGGAGCGUUCCUGGCCGCCGCUGUGCGGUGCCUGUGGUAACGGGGCUGUUGGCGUUUUGCAAUGGGCCGGGGGUGGGGAGGCUGCGCACACAUGCUUCCUGUGGUGACUGGGCGCUUCCUGUUUUCUCAGGCGCCGGACUUGCUACUGCCGAUGUGGAAACAGGGGCAGCUGCAGCCCGGGUGGCUCCGGGCUGGGUGCCCCGACCCUGCCCAGAGGGGCCUAAGUGGGCCCGCCACCCCAGGCCCCGACUCGGGCAGUAAAUGGCCUGGGUUACCCGCCACACCAAGCCCCGUCCUUCCCCAUCCCCGACCGCUUCCGCCCAGAGGAAGGGGCCAGGCAGGGCUGUCCCUCAAGGCUGAGCAGGUGGUCCAGGAGGUCAGAGGUCCAGGUGGGAGCACUGGCCUCAGCUCUGUCGUUUGCUCACGGAGUAACUUUGGCCAUCCCUGCCCCACGGCAGACAUGGUCUCCCCUCGUAUGCGGUGAUCUGAAAUCUCUCACCCCUUUCUGCUCCAGUUCUGACGUCGCUUAGUUUUCCCGUCCCAAGAGCCUUAGCUUCGGGGGCAGGGGGUGAGCACUGAGACUGGGAUCUGGUUGGGGGGGGUUUUCUGGCCUCGGCCUUGACAGAGAAGGGACUUGGAGAGAAGUGGGCGGGGGGAGGUGGUUGGUCAGGUGGGGCAAGCAGACUUAGAACAAGGCGUGGAGGCGGGAAGGCCAGGAUCAG